rnacentral:rRNA from 1 species
UGGGGAAUUUUGGACAAUGGGCGAAAGCCUGAUCCAGCAAUGCCGCGUGUGUGAAGAAGGCCUUCGGGUUGUAAAGCACUUUUGUCCGGAAAGAAAUCCUUGGCUCUAAUACAGUCGGGGGAUGACGGUACCGGAAGAAUAAGCACCGGCUAACUACGUGCCAGCAGCCGCGGUAAUACGUAGGGUGCAAGCGUUAAUCGGAAUUACUGGGCGUAAAGCGUGCGCAGGCGGUUUGCUAAGACCGAUGUGAAAUCCCCGGGCUCAACCUGGGAACUGCAUUGGUGACUGGCAGGCUAGAGUAUGGCAGAGGGGGGUAGAAUUCCACGUGUAGCAGUGAAAUGCGUAGAGAUGUGGAGGAAUACCGAUGGCGAAGGCAGCCCCCUGGGCCAAUACUGACGCUCAUGCACGAAAGCGUGGGGAGCAAACAGGAUUAGAUACCCUGGUAGUCCACGCCCUAAACGAUGUCAACUAGUUGUUGGGGAUUCAUUUCCUUAGUAACGUAGCUAACGCGUGAAGUUGACCGCCUGGGGAGUACGGUCGCAAGAUUAAAACUUAAAUGAAUUACGGGGUCAUAGCUGUUUCC